UGACCACUCCAAGUUUAAUGUCUGUGGAAAAUGGAACAGAUGGAUAUAAGGCCAACAAUUUUACUGGACAAAUAAAAGAGAAAAACAAUGGAAACAUGACCACUCCAAGUUUAAUGUCUGUGGAAAAUGGAACAGAUGGAUAUAAGGCCAACAAUUUUACUGGACAAAUAAAAGAGAAAAACAAUGGAAACAUGACCACUCCAAGUUUAAUGUCUGUGGAAAAUGGAAC